GACGAACGCUGGCGGCGUGCUUAACACAUGCAAGUCGAACGGAAAGGCCCUGCUUUUGCGGGGUGCUCGAGUGGCGAACGGGUGAGUAACACGUGAGUAACCUGCCCUUGACUUUGGGAUAACUUCAGGAAACUGGGGCUAAUACCGGAUAGGAGCUCCUGCUGCAUGGUGGGGGUUGGAAAGUUUCGGCGGUUGGGGAUGGACUCGCGGCUUAUCAGCUUGUUGGUGGGGUAGUGGCUUACCAAGGCUUUGACGGGUAGCCGGCCUGAGGGUGACCGGCCACAUUGGGACUGAGAUACGGCCCAGACUCCUACGGGAGGCAGCAGUGGGGAAUAUUGCACAAUGGGCGGAAGCCUGAUGCAGCAACGCCGCGUGCGGGAUGACGGCCUUCGGGUUGUAAACCGCUUUCGCCUGUGACGAAGCGUGAGUGACGGUAAUGGGUAAAGAAGCACCGGCUAACUACGUG
rnacentral:rRNA from 1 species